rnacentral:rRNA from 1 species
CUGUAAGCCUGUGAAGGUGGCCUGUGAGGGUUGCUGGAGGUAUCAGAAGUGCGAAUGCUGACAUAAGUAACGAUAAAGCGGGUGAAAAGCCCGCUCGCCGGAAGACCAAGGGUUCCUGUCCAACGUUAAUCGGGGCAGGGUGAGUCGACCCCUAAGGCGAGGCCGAAAGGCGUAGUCGAUGGGAAACGGGUUAAUAUUCCCGUACUUGGUGUUACUGCGAAGGGGGGACGGAGAAGGCUAUGUUGGCCGGGCGACGGUUGUCCCGGUUUAAGCGUGUAGGUGUGUGUUCCAGGUAAAUCCGGUUCACUUUAACACUGAGGCGUGAUGACGAGG